UGAUAUGGGAAACCACAGCAAAUUUUGAUCAGAAGAGUAAUAUCAACUAACUCCACUUGGACCGCAUGGAAACGAGGAAGGAGAAUACUACAGCAACCUGGAAGCCAGUGAAAAAUGAUGGCAACACUAUCUAAGAUGGUAAAAAAUUGACGAAGAAAAGCUCAUUUCGAACUGUUGAGGAGAGAAAUGUAUUUGCAGAGAGAGCAUGAAAAAUCAUGAACCACUCCAUGGGUUUUGCCUUGUGCAAGUGGAAGCAAGGGAAGAAGAUAAAGAGAUGUUUUUAUGGGGCUUCUCUACUUAACACAAUCCUGAGAUUUAACACAGGAUGGAAAAGAAGGCAUUAUAAAAUUUCAGUAAGGACUGUGACCUCUAGAGAGCAGAGGCUGUAUCUUUUUCAUUUGCAUAUUCUGAGCAUCUAUUACAAUGCUUCAUACAUAUAUAGUGUCUCACUACAUAUUAAUAUUUAUUGUUCAAUAAAUGAAUCCAUGAACUCAUUUUAUGUGAAACUAUGGAAAGUAGGACAAUCUCUCCUACAAGAAAUAUUGGUGGGAUCUUGCCAUGUUGUUCAGGCUGGCCUUGAAUUACUGGACUCGAGUGAUCCUCCAACCUCGGCCUCCUGAGUACAUAUUCCCUGGUCUAUAGAUGAAGAAAUGAAGGUUCAAGAAUACUGGACAUCUGGACUAAUUAAAUGACAACUAAAUGGCAGAAAUGGUAUUUAAGCUCAGGCCUAGCAGAUGCAAAGUCAUGGGCACAUGUCAAGAAAGACGAGAUAUAUCAUUUUUUCCCACAUAGAUCCUGGAUUAUUACUAUCCUUCGAAUUUAUUUCUAUAAUCUCUAAGUCAGGUGGAACAGAGCUAUAAUUUAUUAGAGUGAAACUUUGGAGGUGCAUACAGUAGUCACAUUAUUAUGUUCAUCUCCUACAGGAACAACUUUUGAUUUCAUUUCAUUACAUUGAAAGGUAACUUCAAAUAUGAAAGGAGCCUUUAAUGUUAUAAAUAUGACCAUGAUGAUAAUCAUCACUAUCAUCAUCUAAGGUACUCACAAUCAAUAAUAAGCCUAUACACUUAGAGGUCCAAAUUGAAAUUAAAAAAGGAAGACAAGAUCUAAACUUCAGGCAAGCUGAUGAGAAAGCCUGCUUGCUUCUUCCUUCAUUUGGACAGGAAGGUCAAACCAUGUAGGAACCGUCAUCCCAGCUGCAAUCCCUGACCAUAGAAACCCCAAGCCAGUUUUCUUUCCUUGUUUCUCGAGUCAUCUUUGGACUUGCUUGAGAUUUGCCUUGUUCUCCCAGAAAAGCUCAUUAUGGGAGCAAUAAACCUUUCCAUUUCCUCUUGAGUGGAGAUUUGCUGAAUAAUUAAUAUCCUAAGGAAUGGAGUAAAUGCUGUGUAAAAGUGUAGGCUCAUAAGGUGGACAAGAGGAAAAAAGAAUUGGUAUUUAACUUAGGAUCUGAAGAGCAAAGAAUAUUUUAGGCUGAAGAAAUAAUGGCAAAAGAUGGGUAAAGAAGAAUACAAGUAGAUUUUGGGAUGUGUCUGCAAAUGCAAGUGUGGAAUACAUAGAAGAACACUAAAUAGGAAUCAACAGAAAGGAAGGAUGCAGAGACCAAGAGAAAGUACUGCCUUUUAUUUACAAGGUCAAGCUCCCAAGGACAUAAAACAAAAUGGAGAUAAACAGUGAUUUUUACCAUUCAUUUGACCAUUUGCACAGAGAGAGAGAAGCCAGAAAUCUGACUGGGUAAAUUUUUAGGGUUGGACAACCUCU
rnacentral:lncRNA from 1 species